ACGGAGGGGGCAAGCGUUAUCCGGAAUGACUGGGUUUAAAGGGUGCGUAGGUGGGCAGAUAAGUCAGGAGUGAAAGCUUCCGUCUUAACCGGGGAAUUGCCUUGGAUACUAUUUGGCUUGAAUAUUGGAGAGGUAAGCGGAAUAUGUGAUGUAGCGGUGAAAUGCUUAGAGAUCACAUGGAACACCAAUUGCGAAGGCAGCUUACUGGACUAUUACUGACGCUGAGGCGCGAAAGUGUGGGUAGCAAACAG
rnacentral:rRNA from 1 species